AUUGAACGCUGGCGGCAGGCUUGACACAUGCAAGUCGAGCGGUAACAUUUCUAGCUUGCUAGAAGAUGACGAGCGGCGGACGGGUGAGUAAUACUUAGGAAUCUACCUAGUAGUGGGGGAUAGCACGGGGAAACUCGUAUUAAUACCGCAUACGACCUACGGGAGAAAGGGGCGUGUUUACAGCUCUCGCUAUUAGAUGAGCCUAAGUCGGAUUAGCUAGAUGGUGGGGUAAAGGCCUACCAUGGCUACGAUCUGUAGCUGGUCUGAGAGGAUGAUCAGCCACACCGGAACUGAGACACGGUCCGGACUCCUACGGGAGGCAGCAGUGGGGAAUAUUGGACAAUGGGGGAAACCCUGAUCCAGCCAUGCCGCGUGUGUGAAGAAGGCCUUUUGGUUGUAAAGCACUUUAAGCAGUGAAGAAGACUCCGUGGUUAAUACCCAUGGACGAUGACAUUAGCUGCAGAAU
rnacentral:rRNA from 1 species